GACAGAGGAGCCAAGCGUUGUCCGGACUGACUGGGCGUAAAGCGCACGCAGGCGGCGCUGGGCGUGGGGUGUGAAAGCUCUUGGCUUAACUGAGAGAGGCCAUCCCAUACGGCAGCGCUCGAGCGGUGCAGAGGUCCGCGGAAUUGCCGGUGUAGUGGUGAAAUGCGUAGAGAUCGGCAGGAACACCCAGGGGGAAACCAGUGGACUGGGCAUCGGCUGACGCUCAGGUGCGACAGCGUGGGGAGCGAACCGG
rnacentral:rRNA from 1 species